UAGAAGAUCUUCAAUUCCCGCGUCAGCCAUUGUCGAUACUAUUGAUAGGUUCACUAUGACACUUUCUGAAAAAAGCAACCGAUAUGCUUAUUGAACUAGCCUAGGACGCUUAUCGUUAGGAAUAGUUAACUGAUAAUCACAUCAGUUGACAAUCUGAUGGAAGUGGUCACGGUUUACAUUAUUUGGACUGCAGCAUGUGCUCCAAGGCCUACAGGUAACGUGUGCUAGCAUUAGCCUCCUACAUGUUACGCCUUUUACGCAAAUGUAACGUUUCAUAACUAUCACACGAAUCCAGUUUAAAACUUUACCCAGAGUUGGAGGCGCAUGUUGCCUUGAUAGAGUGGAUCCUCAGCUUGUUGGCGACAUCCUUGAGCCCCUGCAGAGUUUUCUCGUCGGGUUUGUGGUAGCUAGCCAUGGUAUAUUGUGGGUUGCUUCUUUGCGAGCGUCGCCUAAAAAUGUCGCUGGGUUAUUUAUCACGCAGUUACUUCCCGGUGCUAGGCCACGCCGCUGCAGAUUACAGCAAGUUCAACCCAGGAGGAGGAGGACGGGCCGAGGGGAGGAGGAUUUAAGGCAUUCUCAAGGCACGCCCACCUAACGCUCUCAUUGGAGGAAGACUGCGUCAUAAGGCGGAAGUUACUUCACAACUUCAGCUUUGCCAAUGAAAAAGUAGUAAGUCUUCAUGUCCACCACAGAGGACACCGGGAAAAUGUGGUUUCCACUAACUAUUGAAGGCAGCCAUUUUGCAAAGACAGAUCUCCUACUUGUUUGUAAUGCCAACAAAUCACAUAUCGCUGAAAAUCCCAGGGUGUCCUCUCCACAGCACAACUGGUUUUAUUAUUGUAUAUGCAUUUAAAACACUUGUCCCUUACAGAGUACAAAAAUGCAUUGCUGCGUCUCGGGGGGAUUAUGAAGAAAAAGUUGUCAAUUGUUAAACUUUAUUAUGAAGCACUGCUGUUUUAAAUAAUGGUUUGCUUUGGGGUUAAAAGGUCAAGAUAACAGAAUAAACAGUGGUGUGUAGUCAUAAAA